rnacentral:rRNA from 1 species
GGAGCUUGCUCCAUGAUUCAGCGGCGGACGGGUGAGUAAUGCCUAGGAAUCUGCCUGGUAGUGGGGGACAACGUUUCGAAAGGAACGCUAAUACCGCAUACGUCCUACGGGAGAAAGUGGGGGAUCUUCGGACCUCACGCUAUCAGAUGAGCCUAGGUCGGAUUAGCUAGUUGGUGAGGUAAAGGCUCACCAAGGCGACGAUCCGUAACUGGUCUGAGAGGAUGAUCAGUCACACUGGAACUGAGACACGGUCCAGACUCCUACGGGAGGCAGCAGUGGGGAAUAUUGGACAAUGGGCGAAAGCCUGAUCCAGCCAUGCCGCGUGUGUGAAGAAGGUCUUCGGAUUGUAAAGCACUUUAAGUUGGGAGGAAGGGCAGUAAGUUAAUACCUUGCUGUUUUGACGUUACCGACAGAAUAAGCACCGGCUAACUUCGUGCCAGCAGCCGCGGUAAUACGAAGGGUGCAAGCGUUAAUCGGAAUUACUGGGCGUAAAGCGCGCGUAGGUGGUUCGUUAAGUUGAAUGUGAAAGCCCCGGGCUCAACCUGGGAACUGCAUCCAAAACUGGCGAGCUAGAGUAUGGCAGAGGGUGGUGGAAUUUCCUGUGUAGCGGUGAAAUGCGUAGAUAUAGGAAGGAACACCAGUGGCGAAGGCGACCACCUGGGCUAAUACUGACACUGAGGUGCGAAAGCG